CAUGUCCUUUUGAAUAUAAUUUAAGGUCUGAUCUGCUCAAUGAAGUUUAAAUAGCCGCAGUAUUUUGACUGUGCAAAGGUAGCAUAAUAAUUAGUUUCUUGAUUAGAAACUGGAAUGAAUGAUUGGACAAGAAAAUUUCUGUCUCUUUCUUAAUAUUAUUGAAUUUUAUUUUUAAGUGAAAAAGCUUAAAUGUUUAUAAAAGACGAGAAGACCCUUUAGAGUUUAACAAUUUUUUUUUAUUGUAAGUUUAGAAAAGGUGAUUAAAUAAAAUUGUUUAGUUGGGGUGACUAAAAGAUUAAAUAAAUUCUUUUAAAUUUUAAUUGGAUAUAUCUAAAUUAAAAAUCUAUAAUUUGUAAAGUUAAAAUAAAUUACCUUAGGGAUAACAGCGUAAUUUUUCUUAGAAGUUCUUAUUUAAAGAAAAGUUUGCGACCUCGAUGUUGGAUUAAAAUUAAUUUUCGGAGCAAAAACUGAAAAAUUUGGUCUGUUCGACCUUUAAAAUUUUACAUGAUCUGAGUUUAAACCGGUGUAAGCCAGGUUGGAUUCUAUCUUUAGAUUUUAAAUAUAUUUUAGUACGAAAGGACCAAAUAUAUAUUAAAUUAAUUA
rnacentral:rRNA from 1 species